AUGCUCAUUUUGGCCGCACAUAAACUAAAAUUGGAAUAAUAUAGAGAAGAUUAGCAUAGCCCCUGCACAAGCAUGACAUGCAAAUUUGUUAAGUGUUCCAUAUUUUU